GAUGAACGCUGGCGGCGUGCCUAAUACAUGCAAGUCGAGCGAACGGACGAGAAGCUUGCUUCUCUGAUGUUAGCGGCGGACGGGUGAGUAACACGUGGAUAACCUACCUAUAAGACUGGGAUAACUUCGGGAAACCGGAGCUAAUACCGGAUGAUAUUUUGAACCGCAUGGUUCAAAAGUGAAAGACGGUCUUGCUGUCACUUAUAGAUGGAUCCGCGCUGCAUUAGCUAGUUGGUAAGGUAACGGCUUACCAAGGCAACGAUGCAUAGCCGACCUGAGAGGGUGAUCGGCCACACUGGAACUGAGACACGGUCCAGACUCCUACGGGAGGCAGCAGUAGGGAAUCUUCCGCAAUGGGCGAAAGCCUGACGGAGCAACGCCGCGCGAGUGAUGAAGGUCUUCGGAUCGUAAAACUCUGUUAUUAGGGAAGAACAUAUGUGUAAGUAACUGUGCACAUCUUGACGGUACCUAAUCAGAAAGCCACGGCUAACUACGUG
rnacentral:rRNA from 1 species